rnacentral:lncRNA from 1 species
CCCCCGCGCCGGGAGCUGGGCUACCGAGCGGGGCUGGGCGGGCCAGAGAAGCCGCUCCCCCGCCAGCCCACCCGCCGCGCGGCGCUCUCGCUGCUGCACCGCCUGCCGCCCACGGCGCCCGGCGUGGGGCCCCUGCUGCUGCAGCUGGGGCCCGAGCCUCCCGCCCCACACCCCGGGGUCAGCAAGGCCUGGAGGUCUGGAGGCGCGGAGGAGCCUGAGCGGCUACCCCUCCACGUGCGCUUCCUCGAGAACUGUCAGCCGCGCGCCAGGCGGCGGCGGUCUCAGGGGGCCCUCGGCGGAGGAUGGGCCAGGGUCCCGCCGCUCAGCCCCGCGCCGCUCCGUGCCCGCCUGUCCCACGUCCCCGCGGGGCGCGAGGAGAAUGGGCUCCCUCUGCUCGUGCUGCCGCCGCCGGCCCGUCGGUGGACGCGGGACGACGGUGACUUCCUCUUUGCGGAGCCGCUUCCCCCCACCCCUCAAAUUUUCCAACAGCUUCGAGAAGCCGGAGUCGCCCCCUCACGCCGGGCCCCCAGCCGCUCCCGGACCCCCUGCUCCAGUCACCCCCCUGCCCCCCGUGCCCCCCCGGCGGCAGCCCGCCCCUGGCCCGCCACGCCCCUGGACUCCACUGCAUCCAGCCUGACGUCCUAUGACAGCGAGGUGGCCACGCUCACUCAGGGGCCCCCGCGGGCUCCCGGGGACCACCCCCACCCCCAGGCCCGCCGGCCCCAGCAGCCCCAGCGCCCCCCGCCCCGCAGCCGGGGCCCAGAUCCGCCACCGGGCACGGACUCCGGGAUCGAGGAGGUGGACAGUCGCAGCAGCAGUGACCACCCCUUGGAGACCAUCAGCAGCAGCGUCCACGCUGAGCAGCCUGUCUGCCGAGGGCGGGGGCGGGGUGGCCAGCGGGCCUGAGCUGCUGGACACCUACGUGCCUACUAUGGACGGCCAGGCCUUCGGGGGCAGCGGGCGCGUAUCCCCCGCAGCUCACGGCUCCCUCGAAGCUCCGAGGCCGGGCGCUGGGGGCAGCCGGAGGCCUUCGACCCGGCCCCAGUGGCGGGCUCCGAGACCCUGUCACCCCCACCAGCCCCACGGCUCUGUGACUGGGGCCGGAAACGACGGGCUGCUGGCCCUGAGCGCCUGUUCAGGGCCCUCUUCGGCAGGCGUGGCCGGGGGCCCGGUAUCAGUGGAGCCGGAAGUCCCCCGGUGCCCUUGCCUGCCGCCGCCUCCCUGCCUCGGAAGCUACUGCCCUGGGAGGAGGGCCCGGGCCCGCCACCACCACCCCUGUCUGGGCCCCUGUCCCAGCCUCAGGCCUCCGCCUUGGCCACCGUCAAAGCCAGCAUCAUCAGCGAACUCAGCUCCAAGCUCCAGCAGUUCCGGGGGCUCCUCAGCAGCUGGAGGCUCUGCCUUGGGCCCGGGGAGGCAGCGGGGGCACUGGGGACAGCCACCACGGUGGAGCCAGCUACGUCCCGAGGAGGGACCUCCUCCCUGCAGCGGCAGAGGCAGUAUAGAGUAGUGGUUAAGAGCUCAGAGUUUGGUGCCAUAUAACCGGGCUCUGCCACUUCCUGGCUGUGUGUCCUUAGGCGAGUUACUAAACCUCUCUGUGCUGAUAAAAAUGAUGGUCAUAGUAACCCUGCAUCAGGGCUAUUGUGGGGAUUAAACUGGAGAUGGAGAUGUAAAGCACUUCCAGAACAAUGCCUGGCACACAUGAGCAGCAGUAAGUGGUGGCAAUGAUUAUUAUCGCUUAAUGUCUCUUUUCUUUCAUCUUUCUCGACUGUCACCCUUUCCCGAUGGCUGCUCAUUCUCUGUCCUGACAUCCGCCUCGACUCCUUCCCCUCCGUCCAUCUCCUCCACGCUCGCGUCUCUCCCUGUAUCUUGACGCUCGGUCUCUCCCCCUCCCCCCUCGCCUCUCCCCCUCAUCCCCCGCCCGUCUCCUGCCCCUCGCAGGCUCUCCGACGACUCCCAGUCCUCGCUCCUCCCCAAGCCCGUGGGCAGCCUGUUUUGCAGAACUGGCCCAAGCCACCUCUGCCGCCACUCCCCACUGGAUCGGGGGUGUCGCCUCAGCCACUGCACCCCCGGGGGCCAUCUCACCUUCUGCUUCCUCCUCCUCCACCUCCUCCCGCCACCUCCAGGGCGUAGAGUUCGAGAUGCGGCCCCCCGCUCCGCAGGGCCCCAACCCCUCGCUGCUGCCCGCCUCGGAGCACAAGGUCAGCCCCAGCACCCAGGCCCCUCGAUCCCUGCCCAUCCUGCCUUCAGGCCCUCUCUGCCCAGGCCUCUUCGACAUCCGCGGCUCCCCCACCGGUGGGGCCGGGGGCUCCCGCGGACCCCUUCCGCCCCUGUCUUCGUGCCGCCGCACGGGGAUGUCCAGGGGGCCUGGGAGGAGCCUUGUCGGGGGCCUCUCCGCUCCCUGGCCGCCCACCCGCCUGCUGCCGCUGCCCCCGGACAAACCGUUUGGCGUAAACCUCUGGGCUUCUGGACCAAGUUCGAUGUGGCCGACUGGCUGGAGGUGGCUGGGCCUGGCGAGCACCGGGCCCGCUUCCUGGACCACAGAGAUCGAGCGGCUCCCACCUGCCCGCCUUGACCAAGGAGGACUAUGUGGACCUGGGGGUCACCAGGGUGGGCCACCGCAUGAACAUCGACCGGGCUCUCAAGUUUUUCCUGGAGAGGUGAUGGCUGGCCUGGACGGACCGGCCGUCCACAGAACCCUGCCGCCAGCGCCUCUCACCUCCCGUUCUCGCCGGGCAGGGACUCUGCCGGAACUGCGCCCUGCCCUGUCUCCCGAGGCCUGAGGUCACCAGGUGGCCCCAUCCGGGCCGGACACUUGCACCUCACAGGAGGGGGGCGGCUGACACAGGACUUCGAAAGUGACGUGUGGGGAGCGGCGGGGAGGGACGGAGGAAUCGCCGGGACUGAGGAGGAGGAAGGGUCGAUCCUGGGGGAGGGGACAGACAGAGCCAUAGAGGGCCAGCCCUGAGCCUGACCGGAUGGGGGCGACCCCAGGCCGCAGGGGAGGGGUGCCCUCACAUUCCACCACCUGCGCCCCUCUAGCAGCCUUCCCGCCUCCCCAGGCCCCUCCGCCCCUUUGCCCGCCCGCUCCCCAGCACACAGCUGCCCUCCCCCGCCUCUGCUCGCUCGGCUCCGUUGCACGCCUGCUCGCCCUCUCCUCCCCUCAGCUGCAGCUUUGCACAAAUCUGCCCUCACUGUCUCCGCACACUCCGCCUUCCCGCCCGCCCAGCUCGGCUUUCCUUGCACAUGUUUCUUUCCUCAUGCCUCCACUCCUCCGCACACCCCUUCUCCUGGGGCCCCUCAUGCAGUCUCCAGACCGCCCUCCGCUCACGCCGGUCCCGUGAUGCAGACACACGCGGGACCCAGCUUGCGGGAACCCCCAGCCCCCGCCGCGGCCUGGACCUGCGCAUUCCCUCCCCCAGGGACCCUGUCUUUGCUCAGCUCUCGUGCGCUCGCUGUCGUCUGCUCCCCGAGAUACGCGCACCUCCAUCCUCCUACACGGAGGUGCUUUCCCCCUCUGAUCAUGAACCCCACAUUCUCGCUCUGCUCACAGUGACCCCUGCCCUCUUGCACUGUCACUUUGGCCACUCGCCCCUGCGGAACUGCUGCUCACAGCCGCGCGGCCCAUCUCCGCCCUCUCCCACACGCACCUUCCCCAUGCGCUCCCUGACGGAUCCCGGGGCCCUCUUUCCUUUUGUAACGCACCCAGACAUUGCUGCACACUCCCGCUUUCUGCUAACUCCUCGGCGACUUCCCCACCUGCCCCGAGGCCCCACCCCUCCUGGGCACGCUCGCCCUUCCCACGUGCACUGGGGCUGCGCUGCCGUCUGCCCCGAUGCCCGCCUCUUCCACCUAGCUCCCAGCUCACCAGGCUUCUUCUCUCCUCCGCUCACCUGCCACGUCCUCCCCGGGCCAUCUUCCCACCCAUUUUGCACGAGGAGCCCCUUCUGGCCUUUCCUCCCCUCCCAGACCCCCUCCCUCCAGCAUGGCCGCUCCGUCCCGCACGCUGCCCCUACCCCUUAUUCCUGGGGCUUGGGAAUUUUAAAGCCACCUCUCCCCCCUUGGAAGCCCCUUCCCCUGCUGCGGGUAAAGGGGGAGGGCACUGCCCUCAGGUUCCCCCCAUGUUCAGCUGCCAAAGAAGGGCGCUCCCCUCCUUCCCCACGCCCAUCCCCCUCUGCUGCCCCUACCCCCACGGUGGGGAGGCGCUCCGUCCACGAGGGGAGGGGCAGCCCUCCCCUCACCAUGUCAGGGAUCUGCGGGGAACCUUGUGGGAGGGUCGCGGGAGGGGGAGGGGGUGGCAGGACAGAAGCAGAGGUCGUGCGCUGGGCCCCUACCGCCCCCCUCCCCCUCCCCCUGGUCGGAUGCCCCCAGUCCGCAGGGGGCCUGCGCCGGCGCCUGUCUAUCAAGGGCUUGUUCAUUCUGGAUGGGGUGCCGCGGGGUUGGGAGGGUGUUGGGG